rnacentral:lncRNA from 1 species
GAAAUUAUACCUGCUUUGUCUACUAGAGGCAGUCAGCUGAAUCAUCGAGUUCUUGCAGAAGCCUUGAGCUUUAGCACCCAAGGGCCCUGAGACAGUUGUAUUCAACAACCUUGUUGCAUGAAAGAAGGGGAGUUCUGAGGGACAUGGACAUUGCAGACUUUUUCACCAGCCAGGAAAACUUUUCAGGCAUCACCCAAGAGGUCCAGCUGAAGAUGUAACAGGAUCCUCUAAACUAACUACAAGCUCCUCCACAUUAUCAGGACAAACACAAUUCUAACUCUCAAAAGUGGUGGGUCUUUGAUUCUCAAGGAAGCUGUCAGAAGCUUCAUCUAACUUCUCUUCCACUCUACUUUCUUCUGGAGAAGAAGUGACCCAACAAUUUGAUCUAAUAUUUCCUGAUAAUACUGAACAUCCUUGCAUCCGUUAAAGUUUACUGUUCUAAGACUUA